AUUGAACGCUGGCGGCAUGCCUUACACAUGCAAGUCGAACGGCAGCACGGGAGCAAUCCUGGUGGCGAGUGGCGAACGGGUGAGUAAUAUAUCGGAACGUGCCCAGUCGUGGGGGAUAACGUAGCGAAAGCUACGCUAAUACCGCAUACGAUCUAUGGAUGAAAGCGGGGGAUCGCAAGACCUCGCGCGAUUGGAGCGGCCGAUAUCAGAUUAGGUAGUUGGUGAGGUAAAGGCUCGCCAAGCCGACGAUCUGUAGCUGGUCUGAGAGGACGACCAGCCACACUGGGACUGAGACACGGCCCAGACUCCUACGGAGGCAGCAGUGGGGGAAUUUUGGGACAAUGGGCGCAAGCCUGAUCCAGCCAAAUGCCGCGUGCAGGAUGAAGGCCUUCGGUUGGUAAC
rnacentral:rRNA from 1 species